CCGAUGGAAAACAAAAUUGUUGUCGAGUCGUCACUGGUUCAGACGUACUUAUAAUAUAAUUAUUUCUGUGACUGCAUCUUACAUUAAUUUGUAGGAUCCUUUACAAAAGAUAAUUCAGCUGAUCUGUAACAAUUCUAUCUUCAUGCCUAAUACAUCGUGUACUGUGUUACGACGCUAGAUAAAAACUGUCAAGGAAAGGUAACACACGGCCACCGAAAACUUUAUAGAGCCUAGGUGGUUGAGUGGUCUAGCGCGUCGGGCAUAGUGCAAGGCGAUUUGGUGCCACGAUAUCUCAAUAGCAUGAGUUUGAAUCUCGGGCAUAGUGCAAGGCUUCCACAAAUUUACAGAUAUAACAUUGUUGGGCUGUUGUUUAGACGAAUUCUAUAAUAUAUAUCAUAUAUAAAUGUGCUUUAUCUAAAUAAAAAAAAUAUGGAUCUUUAAUAUCUUGCUUAAAUGUUUAAAACAAACUGAAAAAAAAAGAAUUGAAUACCCAAAAUGGGAGAUUAGAAUUUGUCAUCGUUAAAACAAAAGAUUAGUUGGAAGUAUAAAAGAAAUUUGUCAGAUAGUGUAUAAUAAAAAGAAUACAAGAAGAUUGUUAAUUGCUUAUUAUUAUUUCUUGUUGACUGUCGUGACACGUAUAUCAUGCGGUCCUAUGAUUUUGCGCCAAUUGGCAUUUCAUUUGCGCCAGAAACUAUAUUUCGUUUGCGCCAAAAUAAAACAUUUCAUUCGCCCCAUACAUGCUAUAAUACAGGUAAAUAUAGUUUUUGAUGAUAUAAUAAAACGCAUUCCUCCGACAUCAGUCAUCGUAACAACAAUAAAAUCACUAUGCAUUU
rnacentral:lncRNA from 1 species